rnacentral:rRNA from 2 species
GACCAAGAAGUCUAACAUGUGUGCGAGUCAUUGGGUAUUUUGUUGAAACCUAAGGGCGCAAUUAAAAUAACUAUUUUAUGGGAUUACAAGUGAAUUAAUUUUCAUUUCUUCAUCCCGGGGCGUUCUAUACGAACAUGGUGCAAGCAAUUGAACCCUCUGUUCAAGAGCGUACCUUGAGCAUACAUGCUGUGACCCGAAAGAUGGUGAACUAUACCUGAUCAGAUCGAAGCCAGGAGAAAUUCUGGUGGAGGAUCGAAACAGUUCUGACGUGCAAAUCGAUUGUCAGAAUUGGGUAUAGGGGCGAAAGACCAAUCGAACCAUCUAGUAGCUGGUUCCCUCCGAAGUUUCCCUCAGGAUAGCUGGCGCAAAGAAUUAUAUUGUAUAUAAUCUUAUCUGGUAAAGCGAAUGAUUAGAGGCCUUGGGGCCGAAACGACCUCAACCUAUUCUCAAACUUUAAAUGGGUAAGAACCUCAUCUUUCUUGAUCUGAAGAUAUUGGGGUUUAGAUAUAUUGUGCCCAGUGGGCCACUUUUGGUAAGCAGAACUGGCGCUGUGGGAUGAACCAAACAUGAUGUUACGGCGCCUAAAUUAAUGACUCAUAUUGAUACCAUGAAAGGCGUUGGUUGCUUAAAACAGCAGGACGGUGGACAUGGAAGUCGUAAUCCGCUAAGGAGUGUGUAACAACUCACCUGCCGAAGCAACUAGCCCUUAAAAUGGAUGGCGCUCAAGUCAUAUGCCUAUACAUCAUCGCUAGAAUAAAAAUUGUUGACCAUUCGGUCAUCAUUAUGAAAUUCUAGUGAGUAGGAGGGUACAAUGGUGUGCGCAGAAGUGUUUGGCGUGAGCCUGCAUGAAGCCGCCAUUGGCACAGAUCUUGGUGGUAGUAGCAAAUAAUCGAAUGAGAUCUUGGAGGACUGAAGUGGAGAAGGGUUUCGUGUGAACAGUGGUUGAUCACGAGUUAGUCGGUCCUAAGCUUUAUGCGAAAGCUGUUUAAUUUAUGUUACACACAAAAUUUUUGUUGUACAUAAUUCAAUAAAAGCGAAAGGGAAUACGGUUCCAAUUCCGUAACCUGUUGAGUAUACGUUUGUUUAUUAAAAAUGGGUCUUAUUACACUCAUCCUGGCAACAGGAACGACCAUAGAGAAGCCUUCGAGAGAUACUGGAAGAGUUUUCUUUUCUGCUAAACAAACGUAUCACCAUGGAAGUCUUUUAUAGAGAGAUAUGGUGGAUGGCUUGGAAGAGCAUGACAUUUACUGUUGUGUCAGUAUUUUCUCCUUGGACCUUGAAAAUCUAUGGUGGGGCCACGCAAACUUCUCAACAGACCGUACCGAUAUCCGCAG